rnacentral:rRNA from 1 species
GUGCCCUACGGGGGGCAGCAGUCGAGAAUCAUUCGCAAUGGGGGAAACCCUGAUGCAGCGACGCCGCGUGAGCGAUGAAGUAUUUCGGUAUGUAAAGCUCUAUCAGCAGGGAAGAAAAUGACGGUACCUGACUAAGAAGCCCCGGCUAACUACGUGCCAGCAGCCGCGGUAAUACGUAGGGGGCAAGCGUUAUCCGGAUUUACUGGGUGUAAAGGGAGCGUAGACGGCAGUGCAAGUCUGAAGUGAAAGGCAAGGGCUCAACCCUUGGACUGCUUUGGAAACUGUGCUGCUGGAGUGUCGGAGAG